CCAACUUUCCAGUAACCCACUUCAUUUCCCUCCAGUGAUUUCCAAAGUUAGCUGCAAAAGUAUUCACUUCGCUUGAACCAGCCCCCGGUUGCGUUAAUCUGGGAGAACUUUUUUCUUGCACCAGCACUUGAUCAUUGAGCGUUAUCUCAGAUAUUUCUCUGUGAAGAACUGCUUGCCCCAGCCUUGUCUCCACAUCCGUGUUUGCAGCUUCUUUGAGGCUGUGCCAAUGACUGGCUUCAUCUUCCUCUUCCUUCAAAACUCUUCUGAGACUUCACUUCAAAGAUCCUUAAAACUAACAAUUUCAGUGACAGGUCAGUGCCGGAGGCAGCUGCAGCAAAGAAGACUGACUCUAUCCUCAAACUGCUUUUUGGUUCAUGACUCAUUGUCUAUCCCCAAACUUCUUUCUGGCUUACUUCAGAAUCAUAUAAUUUAUCAUCGACUAUGUCUUAUGCGGAAAGGGCUGCUACAGUAGUUGUAAGCUUUUAGAUGGUUGAAGUACCUUGUUGUGGCCUGGCCCAAAAAUGGAAGCACCAAAGGGCUUUGAAGGAAUCUAUUGCAGAUGGAAGAAGCGGGAAUUGGUGGAAAUUCAGUGAGGUAUCCGGUCUCUUCUGGGUAGACACCUGCUUUAAUUUCUAUACCGAAAAAAUGGAAGGAAGCAACCCAUCUUGUGGAAGCUUUUGUGGAUGCUUCUGAACUAGAAAGAAGCCCAGGAUGGAAAGCCUGAAGGCCUGAAAUUUGGAAAUCUCUCUUUCCUCCCUUUUUAUGACCAUUCUGCAUUUUCUGAUGCUUUGCUUCCAUCUCUGAUUUUUAUUUUUUUUAUUUUUGUGAGGCCUCUCUAACUGCAGCAGGUCAAAACAGCUUGUCAAAACAGUACAAGAUUUAUUGUACUGCAAUGUGGUUUUUAACUUUACACAAGUACGUGUUUUCAUGGCAGCUUUAAUACCAAACCAAAUCUGUGUAUGUAUAAAUUUACAUGCAUCUGUUACCACGUGUGAGACCCCUUAUAAUGAAAAGCCAAUACACAAGCAAACAAUCUUGCCAAGUAGUUUUGCUGCAUUUCUGCAACAACAAGAAGUUUGGUUCAGACUCGCAGCUCAAAGAUGCAUUUUUUUAAUACCUUUACAUAUGUAUGUUGGUUCUUUUGAGCUCACAAGAGUAUGAAGCAUGGAGUGUAAGUGCCAGAUGAAUUACUGAAAUUAAUUUAGGAAUUUCCUAGGCACGCUUUUGGAUCAUGUUUUAGCUUCCUUCUUCCUAUAUUUUUAUUCAUUUCCCAAUACUAUGAUCAUAUAUUAUAAGUGGCUUUUUAAAUCAGAAUUUAAGUGAACGUGAAGCAUGAAAGUAAUAGCUUAUUUUCAACUCUAUUUUCAUGAGUUGUUUUCAUUCACAAAGCAUACAGUAGCUAUAAAAAGACAUAUUAUAUUUUCAAGGUCUGUCACAUUAUUUACAAUGUGAGAAUAUAAAACCUCUCUGACGUUUCAUGAUAAACAGUCAGACCCAGUAGCACAGUUGAACAACAGGUUAGGUACAUCAGGUGCAUAAUCAGCUUGAGGUGCAGUAAAGAAGCCAAGGGUACAGGAACAUGCUCUUUCUGGAGGACAAGAGCGUACUCUGAUAUCUGCAGUUUCAGAUGCUGGAGUAUGUGGGUUAACACAAAUAUUUCUGGUAUUUUGUGGCCUAGCACUGCUACCUUCCAGGCAGUCAGUCAUCUAAGUAAAAUUUCCACAUGGGUGGCUGCUGAAAAACACAAUGCUCGUUACCCUAGGGUGAAUCCUAGUUUCGUUAAAGUCAAUGACAAAACUGCCUUUGACUUCAGUCGGGUCAGGACUGGUGAUGUCUCAUUUCCAUUUGAGCUUAGGAUUGGAGAUAUCUUGCAGAAAAACAACUCAGACUUCUCCUUAAGGGAUGGAAGAGCUCCAUGGAUUUACAGUUCUUUCACCUUUAUGGCUGUAGAUCUUUCAUCUUUAUGGCCGAAGAGCCUUUAUCAUCCUCUGAAUUCAGACGUACCAAUAGAAGAAAUUAUGGCCCUUCUCAGAGUUUACUGCUUACUGACUCUUUAAAUUGUUUAAGGGAGAAUUACCCAGGUUAGUUUAUACAACUGGAAAUUGUGGUUUCAACUAGGAUAUUUGACCUGCAGUGAAUUGGAGAGUGCUCGUACAUGCUGUGCAGCCUGCAGAUCAGAGAAUCAUAGAAUCAUAGAACAGUUUGCGUUGGAAAGGAUCUUAAAGAUCAUCUAGUCCCAAACCCCCUGCAAUGGGCAGGGACAUGUCCCACUAGAUCAAGCUGCCCAAGGCCCAUCCAACCUUGGCAAGACAAAGUAAACCUGAUCAAGAUAAAGUAAAAAGCAAGAGGCGCAGAGCUGGCUGUGAGUGUUAAGCUCUGGCUCAGGAAAAGGACACGUGCCCAUGGUUUAGAUAUUAGAAGAGUGUCACUGCCUUAUGGCUCCUUUGUGUACUUGAUGUGGCUGAAGGGCACUGCCUACUAGAGCUGUGCACACAUGGAGGUGCAAUGGUCUAGUAACUCUCUGGAAGAACCUUUCAAGGACUAUAGGGGGUUGACAGAUUCCCUGAAUAAAAUCUUUUCUCUAAGGCUAAGUGAAGAACUUUGAUCUCCAGGUCUUACAUUCACAUUGGGAAAGCUUUUCAUUGCAUUCCUUCUUUGCUGAUCCUAGUGUUCCCACAGAGUUGCAGCCACAGGCUAUUGCUGUAAGGGCUGCUAGUGGGAUGGGUUGUCAGCCACACGUUCUUGUGCAACCUUCAGAGGGUGAGAUGUACCUCACAACAGCUAUGUUGACACAGCCACAUCAGGCUCUUUCUACCAGCAAGUAUUUUGGUUUUCUUCUUGUUUUUGAUAGUGCUCCAAAAGGAUGUUUCAAAUAGCAACCAGCAAUAUGGCUUCCUGCAUUUACAUUUAAGAGCUACCCUCAAGCCUACUAGAUGUUCAAAGAAAAAUGUGUGUAUGUGGUUACAUACAUACAAUGUAAACAAUCAACACUUACAGUGAGGUGUUUUCCACAUGUAAGUGCAAGACCCUGGUGGGAACAGUGGGGUUCAGGUAUGGGUUCAGGUACUGGUGACUGCUGUGGUGUACGUAACUGAAGUGACGGGCUGAUACCUAGUAUCUGCCUUUUUAGCACCCUUGCCAUAUUUUGCUUGUCUGUAAAACGGAUGCUGCUCAGCUAAAUCAUCGGUAUAUUAUGAAUGGUAUAAAUCAGAAAAAAAUAAAACAAAUAGAAAAUACAAAAAAGAUACUGGAACAACACAAAAGGACUCCUUCAGCAGGCAUAAGAGCUUUAAUUUAUUUUGCAAGAAAAUGACUGACAUUUCAGGAAUAUACACCCUAGAUCUCUUACAUGUGCAAACGGCUGACAAAGGCAGGCGCCUUGAUUUGCAAGUGAUAGAUAUAGUUUAUUAUGCAGUAUAAGUUGCAGGACUUGGGGCUUAGCUGUAUUUUACAAAAAAAAGAAAACUUUUCCCCUCAUUUUAUUAUACAGUUCUACCACACUAAAAUGUCCUCUCUUGUUAAGUGCUGCAUACUUAUGUACAAAAAGAACAGUCCUUGAUGGCUGACCAUAAACAGCAUUUGGUACCUCUGUUCUAUAUUUUCCUCCCUGUGGAAGAAAUCUAAUCUUAUUUACAGAAAUAAUUUUAUGUACAUUUAUGUAUCAUACAACUUACUUUCAAAAUAAUUCCAUAACUCCAUAAUUCAGAGAUUGUGCCACUUUGGUGCCAACAUUUCUUUUGCAUCUUGUUUGUUUGCAAGAAGGUCCUUCUGGCAUUUUUUGAAUUGCAAGUUGGCAAACAAGAUUUUUUUUCCUCUCGACUUCAAAGCAAAAACAACAAUGAAGACUUAACAGCUGUAUCCUUGUGGGAAGCCUGCUGACACCUUAUUUAGUGUCUGAUUUUAAAUUAUGUUAAGAAAUGAGAAGAGUGAACUUGUUCAAUGUACUUCGUGCCAUUCAAAUUUAUCUGUGAAGUUCUGUAUCCUUUUAGAGCAAUGAAACUGUGGCCCUCGUGCAAUGCAAGGCAGCUGGGAUUUUAGGGCUGGGACUGUGGCCCUUGCACCACAGCCCUACGGUGUGAAGCUGCUGAUACUCACGCACCCAAGGAGGUCUAAGGGCUUAGACAAUGCAGUGUGCUGAGGCCAGAAGACGGCAGAGAGGGCAGAAGUGAUGCUAAACUUUGUUUUGUUGUAGGUUUUUUGCUGAGUGGGUAGAUCUGCAGGCUAUUUUCCAGGACAAAUAAUUGAAAUGGCAAACUCACAAGGGAUAUUUUGGACUCUUCUGUGAAGGUUUUUAAGUCCAAAUUGAACAGCUAUCCAUCAGAUAGGUCACAAUGCACUGUUGCUAAUAUGGGGGCUGAACUAUACCUGGGGAGUGCCCUUGAACUCUCAAGACACACCAGCGUCCCAGCUCACUUACUGUCUGCUGGCUUUGGGAUGAAUGCUUCACACGGAAGUGAAAAAACCAGCUAGUCGAAGGAAGUGCUUCCACCCCCCAUAUGGACCCAAGGUCAGCCUGACCUAAUAUCUGUUUCUGUCUGAGCAGAUGCAGGAUGGCUUUUGAUAUCAUGACCACUGGAAACAAAGGCAAACAGAAGUGUGAACUCACUCUCACCCCAAUAAUUCCACUGUGAUAACACAGGUUAAUGCCGAAAAUAAUUCAGGUCACUGUGUGAAUCUACUAGACCAUAGCAGGAUCUUUACAGGCAUUUCAGUUUAUCAUGCUGUAUUUUAAGAAGUCAAGAAAAUGCCCCUUAAUCUGUAGCUGUGUCACAAAGCCAUCCCACUGACAAAUUAGAGUUUCAUUUACAAAUCUUCAACUUGUCUUCCUGUACGUUCAGUGUGGCUUGGAACAGCAUAGAAGGAAAUAAAAGUUGUAGGCAGCUUUGCAAAUGCCCAAAUUCCAUACUGCGAAGUGUUAUUCUGGUCUUUUGGAGAAACUCUAUGUACUCUUGGUAUGCUCCAGGGCCACAGGAUAGCCAGCUUGAGUGGUUGCAAGCCAGGCUUCUGCUGCAUGAUGGACAUUUGAAUGGGAAUAUGUACUGCAGUAUUAGAAAUGCAUUCUAGGCCAGCCAAUUUGCUUAGCAGCUGACCAUUUUAGGAUGGGAUGUAAUCCAGAGGGAUCUGGACAGGCUGGAGAAGUGGGCCUGUACAAACCUCAUGAGGUUCAACAAGGCCAGGUGCAAGGUCCUAUACCUGGGUCAGAUCUCAGUACAGGAUGGGGGAUGAUGUGAUGGAGAGCAGCCCUGCAGAGAAGGGUGCAGCACUUGGAGGUGCUGGUUGAUGAGAAUAUCAACAUGAGCCAGCAAUGUGCUCUCACAGCCUAUAGCUGUGAAAGGCUGAUAGCAUCCUGGGCUGCAUCAAAAGCAGUGUGGCCAGCAGGUCCAAGGGGCGUGAUUUUGCCCCUCUAUUCCUCUCUUGUGAGACCUCAUCUGUUGGAAUGGGUCCAGAGGAGGGCUACAAGGAUGAUAGGAGGGCUGGAGCACCUCCCAUACUGAGGACAGACUGAGUGAGUUGGGGUUGUUCAGCCUGGAGAAGGCUCCAAGAAGAUCUUAUAGCGACCUUCCAGUAUGUGAAGGGGACUAAAACAAAGCUAGGGAGGGACCAUUUAGAAAGGCUUGUAGUGAUAGGACUAGGGACAAAAGGUAUACGCUGGAGAGGGGCAGAUAGAGGCUAGACAUAAGGAAGAAUGGUGAGACACCGCAACAGGUUGCCCAGGGAAGUUGUGGUUGCCCCAUCCCUGGAGGUGUUCAAGGCCAGGUUGGAUGGGGGCUUGGGCAGCCUGAUCUAGUGGGAGGUUUCCUUGCCCAUGGCAGGGGCAUUGGAACUGGAUGAUCUUUGAGGUCCCUUCCAACCCAAACUAUUCUAUGAUUCUAUGAUUCUAUGAUUCUAUGAUUCUAUGAUCUUUUAGGCAUUGCAAUUAAAAUCUGUUAUCAAAGUAGUUAUUAGUAGCUAUCUUUUAAAGACUGCUGUCUGCUAAUAACGUCUCACUGAUACUCAGAAGGAAAUCCUGAUGCUAGUAAGAUAAACUGUUGCCUUAGCACAUUAGAAAAAGAAUCACCCCUUCUUUUUCUAGGUGUACUAGCAACACAGAGGAAAACUGCUUCAUAUACACUGAAGCACUUGUGACUGCAUUUUCAUAGGGACUUACAAAACAAACUUCACUAGAUUUUGAUGCUUACAUUUGCUUACAAUUCUGACUUGUUGACUGAAAAUCCAGAUUUUUCAAUUUAUGCCCAUAUCUACAGAAAGCCGCCUCCAGAGUAGUUGAAACUACUGAUGGGCCAGACAUAGGCAGGAAGGGCUCAAAUGAACAGCACUGUGCCUCGGAGAGAACUGCUGCGUCUUGGAUUCAAAAGGAAGACUUCUCAGCCAAGAUUGCAUCUUCAGCCCUGUGCAAAUGUCAGCCAAUUAAUUUUUACUCUAAAACCUAGAUCCUAUUUUCAAAUAAGAUCUGGCAUUAGGCAGCAUACAUUUUGGUUCAGAUGCUUGAGGCAGAUUCUUGAAUUUGGGUAUCUGAACACUAUAAGGCUGUCAGCUUGAAGGUUAUCUUGUGAGCAAGCAGUAAAUGAUAACCUUCUUUCUGUUUUGGUGAAUGCUGUUCAUCUGGAAAGAAGUUGUUCUGCUGCUUAUACCCAAGUCUGCCAUUCGAGGAGGAUGAAGAACACGAAAUAUGGCUUUUCUACAGUUUUCCUGUAUGUUUCGUAAAUAAAUCCCAGUUUAUUAGUCAUUACCUGUUUUUCUCUAGUAAAAGGCAAGAAGAAUCUAUUAAAAGCCUCUCCAUUAAUUUCUAAAUGGGAAUUAGGAAACAUGGUAAACUGUGCAAUUGCUUCUUUGAGUUGGAGGAAUUAGAUCUGACACUAUUUUCUGGUUUGUGGGGCUUGCUGGAAAUGGGUAUUUCUCCACUGAGUGCUUAGAGACCUGAGAUAACUGUGCAUGUUCAGAUCCAUUAAUAAUAAAAGCUUUGAGUAUGGAGCAGUUUUAUUAUGUUAAAUGGAGUAAUCUUAUGUUUCGAAAGCUUGUAGUAGAUUUUGAGGGAAAUAAUGGUGCAAAAUGACAAGGUUUUAUAUAUAAUUUUCCUGCAUGUUUUUGAGUUGCAUUUGCUUCUGACAUUCUUACACCAGUUUUGUGCAUUUGCAGCUGCAUCAGUUUGGUCUGCUUUGAUUCUUCUCUUCCAUGAACCCUCUGCAAGAUCCAAGCAGCAGGGCUUUAAUUAGGGUGGCCCAAGAAGACUUACUAGGCCCCAGCUAUUUCUUUGGAACAGAAUAGUGUAUGGCAGUGUCUUUGUGGCCCUUUCUGUGCCAACCUAAGAAGUGGAAGAAUAUUGAAAAUGUGUAUCACAAUCUUUCAGUCAGACUCUGCCAGGCAUGUCAUACCUGGACAUACCUCAGGAUGGAUGAGUUAGUUACAAGCACAACAAGUGCCUUGGCAGAAAUGUAUCCUUCUAAAGCUGACCACACUGAAGUAAAAGAGAGAGCUGCUUAUUGAGAAAUAAAGUAUGACAUUGUAUUGUAGGAUAUAGUACAUUAGCCAAGUUUUCUCUCACUGGACCUGAGGCUGCUUCCCUUACGAUGUGAAGCUUUGACUACAUCCUGACUUUACCUUGGGGCCAGACCUCAGGGCAUCACAGCUCCCUCACUGUCCUGGGUUCCAUGCAGAGCAAAG